UGGGCGCAUUCCGUUCGUUUUGCUGCCGAUUUUCGUGGUGAGCAUAUGCUUGGGGGGAGCGUUCGUCGGAUGCCUAUUCAGUGGCUCUGUUGCUGACGGAAUUGGUCUUUUCAGCUCUGUGCGCCACUCUUCAGCUCAUAAGAUCAGAAGUAACAGACUGAUUGAACUUAUAUCCUUAUGAACGUACAGAAACUGAUGGUUAACUAUAUUUGUUAGUGCACACCAAAUGUUUGAUAUUUGUUCUAUGUGACUAUUACAGAACUUUUGGGUUAUACAGAGGAUACAAGAGGGUUGUUUCACAGCUGAUUCAGCAUCUUCUUCAAGGUUACAUCUCCCCUGUACUGAUUUACUAUCUUUUAAGUUCAUAUUUAUUAGUGGCCAAAGAUUCAUGCUUGCUCCCAAGUUCUGUUGAUAGAGAUGUAAGACUUUUUCUUUUGUUAACAUGAAUUUAGUUGAUUGUUAACAGAUUUGUCUGUAAGGUUUGAGGCCGCAUUUAACGGACUGAACAUUUUUUCUUUCUGAACUAUGAUCUUAUGGGAAGUAGCGAGAGUGUGGGACUAUGAUUUGGCUAUGGAGGCGUCACCUAACAAUUCUGCAUUCCAGAAUCACCUCGCUUCCCAUUUUCAGAUACGGAGCUCUACAACAGAAUUCCAGUUUGUUGCUCUAUCAUUUAUGUUGCAACUUGUUGUUGAUUCUUUUACAUUUCUUUGGUAACUUUAAGUGAAAGGCAACCUACAAUCGAGCAACGAUUUGCCAAAGAGAAGUUUAGAGUUUUCUCUUUCUUUUGUACAUUGUUGUUGUGCAUAAUUUGUUCUGUUAUAGAGCUUUGUUAGAAAAGCUGAUUUAACGCAUUGUUCGGCUUUAGAUUACUGCACCUUAUGGUUGUGAGUGGAUUUAAGAGUUAACAUGAUACAAUAUCUUUUUGAAAGAUGAUAGAUUAUCUCGACACAAGCAGGUGUCAUUUUUUGGCAGCGUC